rnacentral:ncRNA from 14 species
CAUCUGCUCUCCGUUAGCUCAGUUGGUAGAGCGUCAGACUGUUAAUCUGUAGGUCGGCGGUUCGUACCCGCCACGGAGAAAUCUUUAUUUUUAAUUUAUAAUUUCUACAUUUUUUUUUAAAUACAUAAUUAUAAUUACGAGAGGUAUUCUCUACUUUUAA